CAAUAGCGUAUAUUAAAGUUGUUGCAGUUAAAAGCUCGUAGUUGGAUUUGUGGCGUACGGUGGGUUCCGGGCACUUGUUGUCUGAGUAACUUGCUGUUGCCAUCCUUGGGUGGAACCUGUGUGGCAUUAGGUUGUCGUGCAGGGGAUGCCCAUCAUUUACUGUGAAAAAUUAGAGUGUUCAAAGCAGGCUUAUGCCGUUGAAUAUAUUAGCAUGGAAUAAUGAGAUAGGACUUUUUUGCUAUUUUGUUGGUUUGCGCAAAGAGGUAAUGAUUAAUAGGGACAGUUGGGGGUAUUCGUAUUCCAUUGUCAGAGGUGAAAUUCUUGGAUUUUUGGAAGACGAACUACUGCGAAAGCAUUUACCAAGGAUGUUUUCAUUAAUCAAGAACGAAAGUUAGGGGAUCGAAGACGAUUAGAUACCAU
rnacentral:rRNA from 1 species